AUUCGCUUGGAGAAGGAAGAUGCACCUCUUCCACUGAUCGGUGAACUUUCAGGCUCUACCAGAAGAGGGAGGAGAAGAGAAGCAGCUGGACAUCAGAGACUAUGGUUGGAUAUUGGAGAGAAGCAGCUUGACUUCAGAGGGACGGCUUGAUGGCACUGCUUCGGAGAGGAGUUCAGCCAGGGAUAGCUGGACUCUGGGGGAAGAUUAUUUUCCCACACCAGUGACUUUUUAGCUCCCCUUCCCACUGAGAGCCACUUUCACCAGCAAUAAAGUUCCCCACAUCUACCAUCUCCAAUUUGUUUAUGCAACCUCAUUCCUCCUGGACACUAAACAAGAACUUGGGUAUUGGUGCAAAAGACUGUCACACUGACCCUCCACUGAGCUAUUAACACUUAAGCCAUUCACAAAUGGCAAAGCUAAAAGAGCACUGACUGUAACACUCUUUCUAGGGCUUCAGGGGUCAUGGGCAUACCCCAAGACACUACUGCAGGGCCACAUGAAGUCUUGCUCCUGCCAGCGCCCAAAAGCACUC
rnacentral:lncRNA from 1 species